rnacentral:lncRNA from 1 species
AGAGACAAUGCAACCAGAACAAUCCAGCUUUUUAAUUAUCAACCAAACUUGAAAUCCAGAGCAACCAACUAUUUUCCCCAUCAAGAAAACCCAGAAACAGAACGGAAAAAAAAAUUACAAGCAAAAUCAAACGAUAACGCUACUCGCCGAGGAGGUUUAUUUAACGAAAAUCAAAGACAUGAAAACGGGGGAAAAUAAUCAGGCAGGGAGGGGCUCAGAAACCAUGAAUCUUGAUCUGGUCCUUGCUGACAAGGUUGGACCUGAGCAAGAAGCCCUGAACGUUCUUACGCUGAUCACCUUGAAGCUGAACUACCUUGCCAAGCUCCUUGUCAUUCACUACGUUCCCGUUGCAGCAGAACUCUUUCUUCACCUCUUUCAGGAUCUUCUCGUAGCUCAAGUCCUUUGACAACCCUUGUACAGUCGUCAGGCACUUCUUUCCAUUCCUUUGUUGUAUCCUGAUGUGCACAUACUCUUUCGCUCCCGAUCUUUUGGCUUCAGCGAAUGGGUCUAUUGCUGAUGGGAUCUCGAAGUCUAGUUCAACCAUGUACACUACUUGUCUUGAAAACCUAAUCAAAGACGAAACAAGAAUUACGCUAUUAGAUCUUGGAUCGUAAUCAAAGACGAAACUAGAGGGGAGGCACGAGUUAGAAAGAGUGGCUCACCUUUGCGGAGAACUGGAGGCUUGGAAGACGCAAGGCUGAAGAUCGGAUGAAUAAGUUGGAAAAGAAACGAGAGGGUAUGGCUGCUUUAUAUAGAGAGGAAGAGGCAGAGUUUGAGUCGGCAAUUAUACGGGUUAC